rnacentral:rRNA from 1 species
UACGUAGGGGGCAAGCGUUGUCCGGAUUUAUUGGGCGUAAAGAGCGUGUAGGCGGCCAGGUAGGUCUGCUGUGAAAACUCGAGGCUCAACCUCGAGACGUCGGCGGAAACCAUCUGGCUAGAGUCCGGAAGAGGAGAGUGGAAUUCCUGGUGUAGCGGUGAAAUGCGCAGAUAUCAGGAAGAACACCCGUGGCGAAGGCGGCUCUCUGGGACGGUACUGACGCUGAGACGCGAAAGCGUGGGGAGCGAAGCAGG